rnacentral:tRNA from 1 species
GCAGGGAUAACCAAGUUGGUCAACGGUGCCGGACUCAAGAUCCGGUGAGAUAGCUCUUCGUGGGUUCGAAUCCCACUCCCUGCA